CCGAGUGAGGGCCUUCGGGCUCGACCUCCAACCCUUUGUGAACACAUCUUGUUGCUUCGGGGGCGACCCUGCCGUUCCGACGGCGAGCGCCCCCGGAGACCUUCAAACACUGCAUCUUUGCGUCGGAGUUUAAGUAAAUUUAAACA
rnacentral:misc_RNA from 1 species